UACGUAGGGUGCAAGCGUUGUCCGGAAUUAUUGGGCGUAAAGAGCUCGUAGGCGGUUUGUCGCGUCUGCUGUGAAAUCUGGGGGCUCAACCCCCAGCCUGCAGUGGGUACGGGCAGACUAGAGUGCGGUAGAGGAGAUUGGAAUUCCUGGUGUAGCGGUGGAAUGCGCAGAUAUCAGGAGGAACACCGAUGGCGAAGGCAGAUCUCUGGGCCGUAACUGACGCUGAGGAGCGAAAGCGUGGGGAGCGAACAGG
rnacentral:rRNA from 1 species